AUGCAAGUCGAACGGCAGCACAGGAGAGCUUGCUCUCUGGGUGGCGAGUGGCGGACGGGUGAGGAAUAUAUCGGAAUCUACCCUUUCGUGGGGGAUAACGUAGGGAAACUUACGCUAAUACCGCAUACGAACUGAGGUUGAAAGCGGCGGACCGCAAGGCGUCGCGCGGAUGGAUGAGCCGAUAUCCGAUUAGCUAGUUGGCGGGGUAAAAGCCCACCAAGGCGACGAUCGGUAGCUGGUCUGAGAGGAUGAUCAGCCACACUGGAACUGAGACACGGUCCAGACUCCUACGGGAGGCAGCAGUGGGGAAUAUUGGACAAUGGGCGCAAGCCUGAUCCAGCCAUGCCGCGUGUGUGAAGAAGGCCUUCGGGUUGUAAAGCACUUUUGUUGGGAAAGAAAAGCGGUCGGUUAAUACCCGGUCGUUCUGACGGUACCCAAAGAAUAAGCACCGGCUAACUUCGUGCCAGCAGCCGCGGUAAUACGAAGGGUGCAAGCGUUACUCGGAAUUACUGGGCGUAAAGCGUGCGUAGGUGGUUUGUUAAGUCAGAUGUGAAAGCCCCGGGCUCAACCUGGGAAUUGCAUUUGAUACUGGCAGACUAGAGUGCGGUAGAGGAGAGUGGAAUUCCCGGUGUAGCAGUGAAAUGCGUAGAGAUCGGGAGGAACAUCAGUUGCGAAGGCGGCUCUCUGGACCAGCACUGACACUGAGGCACGAAAGCGUGGGGAGCAAACAGGAUUAGAUACCCUG
rnacentral:rRNA from 1 species